GCAUCCCUACGGGAGGCAGCAGUGAGGAAUAUCGGUCAAUGGUCGGGAGACUGAACCAGCCAAGCCGCGUGAGGGAGGAAGGUACAGAGUAUCGUAAACCUCUUUUGUCAGGGAACAAAGACUGGGACGCGUCCCCGGAUGAGUGUACCUGAAGAAAAAGCAUCGGCUAACUCCGUGCCAGCAGCCGCGGUAAUACGGAGGAUGCGAGCGUUAUCCGGAUUUAUUGGGUUUAAAGGGUGCGCAGGCGGUCUGUUAAGUCAGCGGUCAAAGCCCGGGGCUCAACCCCGGCCCGCCGUUGAAACUGG
rnacentral:rRNA from 1 species